UAGGGAAUAUUGGACAAUGGGUGAGAGCCUGAUCCAGCCAUGCCGCGUGCAGGAAGAAGGCGUUAUGCGUUGUAAACUGCUUUUUGCCAGGGGAUAAAAAGACCGUGCGCGGUUAAUUGAAGGUACCUGGUGAAUAAGCCACGGCUAACUACGUGCCAGCAGCCGCGGUAAUACGUAGGUGGCAAGCGUUGUCCGGAUUUAUUGGGUUUAAAGGGUGCGUAGGUGGCCCUGUAAGUCAGUGGUGAAAUAUCUCAGCUUAACUGAGAGGGUGCCAUUGAUACUGCAGGGCUUGAGUACAGAUGAGGUAGGCGGAAUUGACGGUGUAGCGGUGAAAUGCAUAGAUAUCGUCAAGAACACCGAUAGCGAAGGCAGCUUACCAAGCUGUAACUGACACUGAGGCACGAAAGUGUGGGGAUCGAAACAGGAUUAGAUACCCAUGUAGUCCCUG
rnacentral:rRNA from 1 species